UACAGAGGCCUCGAGCGUUAGGCGGAAUCACUGGGCUUAAAGCGUGUGUAGGCGGACUUCUAAGUACCUUGUGAAAUCCCACGGCUCACCCGUGGAACUGCUCGGUAUACUGGUCGUCUUGAGCCUUCUAGGGGCGAGUGGAACAAAUGGUGGAGCGGUGAAAUGCGUAGAUAUUACCAGGAACACCAAUGGCGAAGGCAGCUUGCUGGGCCACUCCUGACACUG
rnacentral:rRNA from 1 species